AACGAACGCUGGCGGCGUGCCUAACACAUGCAAGUCGAACGUGAAAGUACUUCGGUAUGAGUAAAGUGGCGCACGGGUGAGUAACACGUAGGUGACCUGCCUUUUAGAGGGGAAUAACCAGAUGAAAAUUUGGCUAAUGCCGCAUACGAAGAACAAAUAUAAUAGUAGUUCUUGAAAGGAUGCCUCUGUAUAUGCAUCCACUAAAAGAUGGGCCUGCGGAACAUUAGCUAGUUGGUGGGGUAAAGGCCUACCAAGGCAACGAUGUUUAUCCGGUCUGAGAGGAUGAUCGGACACACUGGAACUGAGACACGGUCCAGACUCCUACGGGAGGCAGCAGUGGGGAAUAUUGCGCAAUGGGGGAAACCCUGACGCAGCAACGCCGCGUGAGUGAGGAAGGACUUCGGUCUGUAAAGCUCUGUUAAUGUGGAAAAAUGGUAGAGGGUCUAAUAGGCCUUUUAUUUGAUGGUACACAUAGAGGAAGCACCGGCUAACUUC
rnacentral:rRNA from 1 species